GAAAUGCGAUAAGUAAUGUGAAUUGCAGAAUUCAGUGAAUCAUCUAAUCUUUGAACGCACCUUGCGCUCCUUGGUAUUCCUUGGAGCAUGCCUGUUUGAGUAUCAUGGAAUCUUCAAAGUAAAUCUUUUGUUAACUCAAUUGGUUUCUACUUUGGUAUUGGAGGUCUUUGCAGCUUCACACCUGCUCCUCUUUGUUCAUUAGCUGGAUCUCAGUGUUAUGCUUGGUUCCACUCGGCGUGAUAAGUUAUCUAUCGCUGAGGACACUGUAAAAGGUGGCCAAGGUAAAUGCAGAUGAACCGCUUCUAAUAGUCCAUUGACUUGGACAAUACUUUUAUGAUCUGAUCUCAAAUCAGGUAGGACUACCCGCUGAACUUAAGC
rnacentral:misc_RNA from 1 species